rnacentral:lncRNA from 1 species
CAGAAGUAAAUAGGAUCUGGAUGUUCCACUUGCCAUCUCUUAACUUCCUCACUCACUCAGUUUUAUUUAUUGCUUAAUUAGAGAGUUUGUCUUUGCGUGUGAGCUACUUUGAGAGAAAAUGAUGUAAUGUAAUGUCUAGCUUUGAAUUUGCAGGAACGAUAGUGUAUGUAUUGGCUUUAUUGCUAUAGUCAUUUGCUAGUUGGCAACUUAAUUUGUUGAGACCUCAAGAUUUUAGUUGGUGUUUGGUUGAAAAUUGGAAAUGGAAAAAAGAAGUAGCUGAAAUUGAAGUUAAAAAGAUACAAUUUGUAACUUAAAAGUCUGUGUUUAUACUUGGAAAAAUAUUUUGAUGUUUAAAGACAUAUAAAAACACAUGCUUAAAUCAGACUUUACUUCAAAGAAUUUUGGGCAGUGAACAGCAAAUAUAGAAGGGAAAACGAAAAUUCAACCCUUUUAUAUAUGCGGGUGGCUCAAUGCCCUUUAAAUGAGGCAUGUCUUAGGCUUCCAAAAUCAAAAGGGCCUAAUUUUUUAGUAAUAAUAAAUUAUUAUAAGCCUUUUUUAACAAAAAAAAUAUACUAUAUUUUUUAAUUUAUUUAUCGUAUUUUUAGUUUGUUUCGAAACGCCUGACAAUUUUGGGCAAUCAAUCUUUCAAAGAAGAGUCCUGUAAGCCACAAGUCUUGUUUGUUUUAGGGUGCGUUUGGUAGAAAGGAAAAUGUUUUCAGGGAAGUAAGUGAAAAAGUCUUGUGUCUCCGUACGUAAGCAAAAAUUAAUUAUGCAAGUUGGAGUAGGAAUAGGGGUAGGGUUGGUGGGGAUGGGGCGAAGAUGAGGUCUAUCGUACACAAUUGACAUGGAAUGUCACUGAUGGAACCUGCUUUCCUUCCUUUUCAUUAGGAAAGUUAUUUUCCUCAUUCCCUAAGAAACUUAUUUGUUAAAGAAAAUGCUUUUCAAAAUUUUUAACCGAACAGGUCCGACUCUUUUCAUGGUCUUACUUUCUGCAUCCAUUCCUCAGUAUGGUUAAACUUAUGUUGAUGCAGGCAUGGUGACCAGGCGGCACAGAUGACACGUGAAGGAUUCGAUGCUGCAGGGCAUGCUUUAGGGACUGCGUGGGCUGUGUUUAAGAUAAGAAAAGCUCUGAAUCCAAAGGGUGCUAUCAAGCCUACUACAGUUGCAAAAGCUGCUGCUCAAGCUAGCCUUGCUAAGCUGAAGAGCAAGCAGAAGUAAAUAGGAUCUGGAUGUUCCACUUGCCAUCUCUUAACUUCCUCACUCACUCAGUUUUAUUUAUUGCUUAAUUAGAGAGUUUGUCUUUGCGUGUGAGCUACUUUGAGAGAAAAUGAUGUAAUGUAAUGUCUAGCUUUGAAUUUGCAGGAACGAUAGUGUAUGUAUUGGCUUUAUUGCUAUAGUCAUUUGCUAGUUGGCAACUUAAUUUGUUGAGACCUCAAGAUUUUAGUUGGUGUUUGGUUGAAAAUUGGAAAUGGAAAAAAGAAGUAGCUGAAAUUGAAGUUAAAAAGAUACAAUUUGUAACUUAAAAGUCUGUGUUUAUACUUGGAAAAAUAUUUUGAUGUUUAAAGACAUAUAAAAACACAUGCUUAAAUCAGACUUUACUUCAAAGAAUUUUGGGCAGUGAACAGCAAAUAUAGAAGGGAAAACGAAAAUUCAACCCUUUUAUAUAUGCGGGUGGCUCAAUGCCCUUUAAAUGAGGCAUGUCUUAGGCUUCCAAAAUCAAAAGGGC